AUACCUUUCUCGGCCUUUUGGCUAAGAUCAAGUGUAGUAUCUGUUCUUAUCAGUUUAAUAUCUGAUACGUGGGCCAUCGGCCCACACGAUAUUAACUCAAUUUUUUAAGGGGGGGAGCCCGCCACGGUAGCUUGCUGCCGGGGCUGUCGAGCGUUGCCUUGGCCUUGCACUAAAGCCUGGGCCUGGCGCACCCCAC